rnacentral:rRNA from 1 species
CAUCCUCCCUUAGAGUUUGAUCCUGGCUCAGGAUGAACGCUAGCUACAGGCUUAACACAUGCAAGUCGAGGGGAAACGACAUCGAAAGCUUGCUUUUGAUGGGUGUCGACCGGCGCACGGGUGAGUAACGCGUAUCCAACCUGCCCAUCACUUGGGAAUAACCUUGCGAAAGUAAGACUAAUACCCAAUGAUAUCCCACGAAGGCAUCCGAAUGGGAUUAAAGAUUUAUCGGUGAUGGAUGGGGAUGCGUCUGAUUAGCUUGUUGGCGGGGUAACGGCCCACCAAGGCAACGAUCAGUAGGGGUUCUGAGAGGAAGGUCCCCCACAUUGGAACUGAGACACGGUCCAAACUCCUACGGGAGGCAGCAGUGAGGAAUAUUGGUCAAUGGGCGAGAGCCUGAACCAGCCAAGUAGCGUGCAGGAAGACGGCCCUAUGGGUUGUAAACUGCUUUUAUAAGGGAAUAAAGUGAGUCUCGUGAGACUUUUUGCAUGUACCUUAUGAAUAAGGACCGGCUAAUUCCGUGCCAGCAGCCGCGGUAAUACGGAAGGUCCGGGCGUUAUCCGGAUUUAUUGGGUUUAAAGGGAGCGUAGGCCGGAGAUUAAGCGUGUUGUGAAAUGUAGAGGCUCAACCUCUGCACUGCAGCGCGAACUGGUCUUCUUGAGUACGCACAACGUGGGCGGAAUUCGUGGUGUAGCGGUGAAAUGCUUAGAUAUCACGAAGAACUCCGAUUGCGAAGGCAGCUCACGGGAGCGCAACUGACGCUGAAGCUCGAAAGUGCGGGUAUCGAACAGGAUUAGAUACCCUGGUAGUCCGCACGGUAAACGAUGGAUGCCCGCUGUUGGCCUGAAUAGGUCAGCGGCCAAGCGAAAGCAUUAAGCAUCCCACCUGGGGAGUACGCCGGCAACGGUG